ACUCUUCCUGGGUCCCCUGGCCCCAAGCCAGUGUCCAUCAGCCAGAUGCCAGACCCCAGUGUGCUAAAACUCAUGCCCUUCCUGAUGCCCUGGUCUCCUGCACUGAGCUAUGUGAGCUCUUUCACCCAGCAGACUCCCUGGCAUUGACCAGCAUAGAUGGUGGCCCUGGAGGACGACUUGUAUUGGGAC
rnacentral:lncRNA from 1 species